AAUUAGGGAAAGAGUUAAUUACAGAAAAGUUAAUUAUGGGGGAAGUUCUGGGGUAUUAAUAACGGAGUUAAUUAAGCAAUGAUUAAUUAUGUGGGUAGUCCGUUAAGUGGUUAAUUAGGGAAAUAAUUAAGAAAAUGUUAAUUACAGGGGCAGUUCCGGGGGGUUCUUUACAGGGUUAAUUAGGGGAAGAGUUAACGAAGGAAAGGUUAAUUACGGGGGAGUCCUGGUGGGUUCGUUAUGGCGUUAAUUACUGGGGGUUCUGGGGCGUUCAUUAUGCGGUUAAUUACUGGGGAAUCAAUUAAUGGGGGGCUCAUCAAUCAAUUAAUGGGGGCUCAUUAACGAGGGCAGUCCUGGGGCUUAAUUAGGGGAUAAAUUAAUGGGGGGCUCAUCAACAGGGAACCGCUAAUGAGGCGUUGAUUAACGAGUGUUAAUUACAGCGCUGCUAACGGCGCUAAUGAACCUGCCAGGCUGGGCCGCGCCCGCAGAAGCCACGCCCACACCUGAGCCACGCCCACACCUGAGUCACACCCACAUCUGAGUCACACCACACCUGAGCCACGCCCACACCUGAGUCACCUCCCCCCUCACAAAUGACAUCACACCAGUGCCACUGGAACAGCCGUGUUGGACCCGAAAGGUGUCACACACCUGGGCAGGUGUGACAGGGACAGGGGUGACACAAUCCAGGACAGGUGUGACAGGGACAGGGGUGACAGGGACACAGGUAACACAGACAGGGACAGGUGCGACACACCUGGACAGGUGUGACAUCCAGAACAGCCGUCUUGGAUCUGAGAAGUGUCACGCACCUGGGGACAGGUGGGACGGGUGACACAGACAGGGACAGGUGUGACACAAUCAGGGACAGGUGUGACACCUGGAGCAGCCAUGUUGGACCUGCAAGGUGUCACACUCACACCUGGGGACAGGUGUGACAAGGACAGGUGACACCUGCUGACACCUGCCACACGUUGUCACCUGUGCCACACCUGUGUCACCCCCCGUGUCCCCAACACCUCCCGGGGCUGCGCCACAGCCACAGGGCCGGGCACAGGUGUGGACAGGUGCGGCACAGGUGGCACAGGUGUCACACACUCACAGGUGUGGCACAGGUGUCACACACAGGUGUCACACACUGUCACAGGUGUGGCACAGGUGUCACACAGGUGUCACACACACUCAUCACACUGUCACAGGUGUGGCACAGGUGUCACAGGUGUCACACACAGGUGUGUACCAGGUACAUCACACACAGGUGCCACACACCUGUCACAGCUGCCUUACAGGUGUCACAGGUGUCCCGCACAGUCACAGGUGUGGCACAGGUGUCACACACAAAGGUGUCACUCAUAGGUGUCACACAAUCCCAGGUGUUUCACACAGACUCACAGGUGUGGCACAGGUGUGU
rnacentral:lncRNA from 12 species